rnacentral:rRNA from 1 species
CCUACGGGGGGCUGCAGUGGGGAAUUUUGGACAAUGGGCGCAAGCCUGAUCCAGCCAUGCCGCGUGAGUGAAGAAGGCCUUCGGGUUGUAAAGCUCUUUCGGUGGGGAAGAAAUCGCAUCUCCUAAUAUGGGGUGUGGAUGACGGUACCCGCAUAAGAAGCACCGGCUAACUACGUGCCAGCAGCCGCGGUAAUACGUAGGGUGCGAGCGUUAAUCGGAGUUACUGGGGGUGAAGCGUGCACACGCGGGUGAAAUCCGCGGGCUCAACCGGGGAACUGCAUUGGAGACUGUACGGCUAGAGUGUGGCAGAGGGGGGUAGAAUUCCACGUGUAGCAGUGAAAUGCGUAGAGAUGUGGAGGAAUACCGAUGGCGAAGGCAGCCCCCUGGGCCAAUACUGACGCUCAUGCACGAAAGCGUGGGGAGCAAACAGGAUUAGAUACCCCAGUAGUC